UUUCCGUAGGUGAACCUGCGGAAGGAUCAUUAAAAAAUGUGGUACCGAUUGUUGGUACUAAAUUAAUCAUCCUACCCUUUGUGAAUUUGUUUGUAACGAAUUUUUUAAAUGGGUCUUUCCCUAAGUUGGAUUGUAGUAAAAUACAAAAAAGACUUAGGGGAAUGACUUUUUUAAAAGACUUUUUUUUAAAUUAAAACUUUUUGUAUUCAUUUGUCUAAAAUUUAUUUUUAUAAUAUAAAAACAACUUUUGACAAUGGAUCUCUUGGUUCUCGCAACGAUGAAGAACGCAGCAAAAUGCGAUAAGUAGUGUGAAUUGCAGAAUACGUGAAUCAUCGAAUCUUCGACGCAUAUUGCACUUUUUUAGUUUACUAAAAAAGUAUGUCUGUUUGAGUAUCAGUAAAAUAUUCUCACAAACAAUAUUGUUUUGUGGUAUGAGUGUUUUACAACGAUAAACAAGUUGUUUCACUUUAAAUUCUUUUGUAAGUUGAUUUUACCAAUUCAUAAAUUAAAAUUGGAUAAAAUUUUCCUUUAACGAGGAAUAACCUAAACAAUUUUAAAUUUUAUGGAUUAUAAACAUUCAUCAAAGGAAUCUAUACACAAAUAACUUGAUCUCAAAUCAGAUAAGAGUACCCGCUGAACUUAAGCAUAUCAAUAAGCGGAGGAAAAGAAACUAACAAGGAUUCCCUUAGUAACGGCGAGUGAAGCGGGAAGAGCUCAAAUUUGAAAUCUUCAAGGUUUGACCUUGACGAAUUGUAGUUUAUAGAAGUGUUUUCUGUUGGAGUUUUGGUAAAAGUUCUUUGGAAUAGGACAUCAUAGAGGGUGAGAAUCCCGUAUUUGACCAUGACUUUCCAGCUGUGUGAUACACUUUCAAAGAGUCGGAUUGUUUGGGAAUGCAGUCCAAAAUGGGUGGUAAAUUUCAUCUAAAGCUAAAUAUUGGCGAGAGACCGAUAGCGAACAAGUACCGUGAGGGAAAGAUGAAAAGAACUUUGAAAAGAGAGUUAAACAGUACGUGAAAUUGUCAAAAGGGAAGCGUUUGACACCAGUGUUGUUUUCUCGAAAAUCAAUUUAAUGAGUUCUUGUUUUUAAGUUAUUGUGACUUUAUCAGCGCAUUUCUUAUUUUACUUGACUCAUUGAAUGCACUUUUCGUUUAACAAGUCAACAUCAAUUUCUUUGGUGGUAAAAAGUUUAAAGGAAGGUGGCUUGGACUUCGGUUCAAGUGUUUAUAGCCUUUUUUCUAUGCCAUCGGAGAGAUUGAGGUCUGCAGCGUAGAUCCUUCGGGGUUAGAUACCUUUGUGCUAAGUUAUAGUUUUUUAUAGACAACUUGUUGACUAUAAUUAACCCUGUAAUUUACUCGCUUAGGCUAUUU
rnacentral:misc_RNA from 1 species